GGCGUCAGUUUCUAGAGUUAGCUUCAUUGUACUCGGUUUCCUUUGUUUAACGUUAGCCCCAGCUGUGACAGGAAAAGGCAAGCACCAUUUGAAGCCAGAGAUCGCCGAUGUUAAAAUGGUGUUUGACAACUUUGCAAGUGCCGUCGCCGUCUUCGAUGUAGACAAGGACGGCGACCUUGAUUGUUUGUCGACUGUGCGCAUAGACUACGACAAGGAUGCAUCAACCGCCACAUAUGUCUGGCUCCU
rnacentral:lncRNA from 1 species